rnacentral:rRNA from 1 species
AUUGAACGCUGGCGGCAUGCUUUACACAUGCAAGUCGAACGGCAGCGCGGGCUUCGGCCUGGCGGCGAGUGGCGAACGGGUGAGUAAUGCAUCGGAACGUGCCCAGCAGUGGGGGAUAGCCCGGCGAAAGCCGGAUUAAUACCGCAUACGACCUGAGGGUGAAAGCGGGGGACCGAAAGGCCUUGCGCUAUUGGAGCGGCCGACGUCGGAUUAGCUAGUUGGUGGGGUAAAGGCUUACCAAGGCGACGAUCCGUAGCUGGACUGAGAGGACGACCAGCCACACUGGGACUGAGACACGGCCCAGACUCCUACGGGAGGCAGCAGUGGGGAAUUUUGGACAAUGGGGGCAACCCUGGUCCAGCCAUGCCGCGUGCGGGAAGAAGGCCUUCGGGUUGUAAACCGCUUUUGUUCGGGAAGAAAUCCUCUGGGCUAAUACCCCGGGGGGAUGACGGUACCGGAAGAAUAAGCACCGGCUAACUACGUG